AGUGAACGCUGGCGGUAGGCCUAACACAUGCAAGUCGAACGGCAGCACAGUAAGAGCUUGCUCUUACGGGUGGCGAGUGGCGGACGGGUGAGGAAUACAUCGGAAUCUACUUUUUCGUGGGGGAUAACGUAGGGAAACUUACGCUAAUACCGCAUACGACCUACGGGUGAAAGCAGGGGAUCUUCGGACCUUGCGCGACUGAAUGAGUCGAUGUCGGAUUAGCUAGUUGGCGGGGUAAAGGCCCACCAAGGCGACGAUCCGUAGCUGGUCUGAGAGGAUGAUCAGCCACACUGGAACUGAGACACGGUCCAGACUCCUACGGGAGGCAGCAGUGGGGAAUAUUGGGCAAUGGGCGCAAGCCUGAUCCAGCCAUACCGCGUGAGUGAAGAAGGCCUUCGGGUUGUAAAGCCCUUUUGUUGGGAAAGAAAAGCAGCAGGUUAAUACCCCGCUGUUCUGACGGUACCCAAAGAAUAAGCACCGGCUAACUUCGUG
rnacentral:rRNA from 1 species